rnacentral:rRNA from 2 species
UACGGAGGGUCCAAGCGUUAUCCGGAAUCAUUGGGUUUAAAGGGUCCGUAGGCGGUUUAGUAAGUCAGUGGUGAAAGCCCAUCGCUCAACGGUGGAACGGCCAUUGAUACUGCUAAACUUGAAUUAUUGGGAAGUAACUAGAAUAUGUAGUGUAGCGGUGAAAUGCUUAGAGAUUACAUGGAAUACCAAUUGCGAAGGCAGGUUACUACCAAUAUAUUGACGCUGAUGGACGAAAGCGUGGGGAGCGAACAGG